rnacentral:rRNA from 1 species
GCCAAAAAUCUAACUCAAAAUUCAUUGAUAAAGUCAUAAAUUAUUUUACUUACAAUUAAAACAUUCAAUUACUUUAGUAAAGGCGAUCAAAACACUACUUCGAAGUUAUACCAUAGUACCGCAAGGGAAUGAUGAAAUAAAAAUGAAACAACUUUUAAGCACAAAAUAGUAGAGAUUAACUCUUGUACCUUUUGCAUCAUGAUUUAACUAGUCUAAUCAAGCAAAACGAACUUAAGUUUGGCCCCCCGAAACUAAACGAGCUACUUCAGGGCAGCUUCAUGAGCCAACCCGUCUCUGUUGCAAAAGAGUGGGAAGACCCUAAAGUAGAGGUGACAGACCUAACGAGCUUAGUGAUAGCUGGUUACUUAAGAAAAGGAUUUUAGUCCAACCCAACUUUUUCUAAAUACAUUAAAAUAAACAUUAAAUUUUGGAGCAAUUCAAAUAAGGUACAGCCUAUUUGAAACAGGAUACAACCUACGUAAAUGGGUAAUCUAUUUUAUUAAUAGUAAAGUAGGCCUAAAAGCAGCCAUCUUUAAUAAAAGCGUCAUAGCUUACUUAUCUCCAACCAAAAUUCCUUUAAUUACCAAAAACCCUUAAUUCAUAUUAAGUAACUCUAUAUAUUUAUAGAAAAUACUAUGUUAAAACUAGUAACAAGAACAAACCUUCUCCUAAAUGUAAGCGUAAAUCAGAAAGGACUAACCACUGAUUCUUAAUAUCCUAAAUUAUAGCAAUAACUUACCAAGAAAACCUUGCUCAAAAUGAUAUUAAUCUAAUACAAGAACAUUUCCGGACAGAUUAAAAAGAAAAGAAGGAACUCGGCAAACAUUAACCCCGCCUGUUUACCAAAAACAUCGCCUCCUGCCACCCAUAAGAGGUCCAGCCUGCCCAGUGACUCUGUUCAACGGCCGCGGUAUCCUAACCGUGCGAAGGUAGCGUAAUCACUUGUUCUUUAAAUGAGGACUAGUAUGAACGGCACUACGAGGGUUACACUGUCUCCUUUUCCAAAUCAGUGAAACUAAUCUCCCCGUGAAGAAGCGGGAAUAAACCUAUAAGACGAGAAGACCCUAUGGAGCUUCAAACUUCCCAGCAAUUAUUUUUUACUAAUUCAAUCUCAAGAUAAUAAAAUGAACCCCCUAUAAUAUGACUGCAAGUUUUCGGUUGGGGUGACCACGGAGUAAAAUCUACCCUCCACAAUGAAUUAUAAACCUUAGCUUUAAACAAAGAAACACAAUUCUAUGUAUCAAAAAAUUGACAUUAUUGACCCAAUAUUUUGACCAAUGAACCAAGUUACCCUAGGGAUAACAGCGCAAUCCAUCUCAAGAGCUCAUAUCGACAGAUGGGUUUACGACCUCGAUGUUGGAUCAGGGUAUCCAAGUGGUGUAGCCGCUACUAAAGGUUCGUUUGUUCAACGAUUAAAACCCU